ensembl:lncRNA
AAUAUGUAGUCUGUACUGAUUUAUUCUUCCUUACAGUGAAACGUAGCAGAGCCACUUGUCUUCAGAGGUGAAACAGAUGACAACCUAAAGCCUUGCUUCUCCAGGGUCCACAGUUCUUGUGCUGACAUUGUGUACCUAUGUUUUUCAAGACAAAUUGUCCUGGCAAUGUUGGCUUCCCAUCUACCCAGAUACCGUGCAUCUACAAAUUCUGCUCUGUAGAGCAGAGUCAAGAGGCCUUGUGUAUGACUUUCAUCUAGGACCUCCCUAGCUCUAGAACUGUUUCUGCUUGCCUCUUAUCUCCCAAGAAUGCCGAGACUGGGUGCUGCAGUGGAUCAUUCCCUGGGCAGCCCAUAGGACACUGUGAGGUGACAGGCUGUAGCUGCUGCUGUGUGUAUGAAACAGCAAAAGACUCCUGCCAUUUCCAGCAAAGUGGGGUGUGGCUCUGGAAGCACUUGUUGGAUUUUUCUUUCUAGCAAUUUGAUGGCUGCCAAGGCUAUUUCUUAUUUCAGGAGUGGGGACCACAGCAGUAAAAGGUAGCAAAGGACCAAUGCAUGGAAGGUUGUUCACAUUUUCAGACCACAAGAAAGCAGAAAGGGCAUCCUCACUGUCAAUAGUUGCAAGGCUAUGAACCUUUGUGAGUCCAAGUCACAAAUAAGCAAGAGCAUUCUGUCUCUAGCCACCAAGACUUCUGGAAAAGAGCCUGCCAGCUCAUCAAGUUCAUUCAGGAUGGUUUUUCAUUUCUUUCAUGAAGGAGGAUCAGAGGGGAAGGAAAAUGGCAGAAUUUCACACAUAAUCAGACUCUUGAGCAGAAGAGGUCAGCUGGUGGCAAUCAAUAAACCUGAGAGUCGCAGAAAGUCCACCAUUGUUAAUCAUAGAUUCUUUGAUUGCAUAGGUCACUGGUGACAAGAGGGUUGCACUGCAAUGACUUUUAGAAAUUUAAUCACCACUAUGNCCAAAAUGUGUAGCUUAUUGUGAUAUAGAUUAUGGGUAACUUUUCACUUGAAGAAACACCAGUUUUUGUUUUACAUAGAAUAGUCACUUAUUUUUUUAAUCCCCUUAAAUAUUCCAAGCAGGAAAAUAACAACAGAUGUUGCUAUAUGAAUGAAGCCUUCUAGUUCCCCCUUGCAUUAUAGAUAUGCACUUAUAAUGGCUUCUUGCCUAGCUCACAGCAGUUUGCAGUUCGGAACAAUCAGUCUCCAUACAUUUUACUAUUUUUAUCCUGGUUAUAAAGAAGAAAAUCAGUUGAUAUGCAUGGACUCCACCAGAGNCUUGGGACCUGGACUGGAUGGUACCAGAUACGAUUUUCAGCAAUGUAUCUAUUAUUAUUAUUAGCCAAGGUUUGGAGCAACUUUCAGUCUCCACAUGAUAGUAAAAUCUCGUGUCCCAGUCAUUUCCAUAGUUACUUCUCCUCUCAAUACAUAUAAAGUGCUACCAAAUCUCUNGCUCUCUUCAUUAAUAAUUGUGAGCUGAGCUGAAACCUACUGUCUGACUAAUUUGCCCCCAAAUGAAAUUGUUUCCACUUGUGCUUUACUGUUGCCACUUUCCUAUUUUACUGCUUGCAUUAUAAUAAAGUUAUUUUAUGUGUGCCUUUUACA